CUCAAAUGAUCAAAGGCUAAGAACGCCACAUCCUGUGGCGACGCCUUUGUUAGUACAUCCUGUACU
rfam:Virgibacillus soli strain PL205 scaffold000003, whole genome shotgun sequence.